rnacentral:rRNA from 1 species
UACGUAGGGGGCUAGCGUUGUCCGGAUUUACUGGGCGUAAAGAGCGCGUAGGCGGUUUGGCGCGUCUGCUGUGAAAACUCGAGGCUCAACCUCGAGCUGUCGGUGGAAACUGCUUGGCUAGAGUCCGGAAGAGGAGAGUGGAAUUCCUGGUGUAGCGGUGAAAUGCGCAGAUAUCAGGAAGAACACCUAUGGCGAAGGCAGCUCUCUGGGACGGUACUGACGCUGAGACGCGAAAGCGUGGGGAGCGAACAGG